UCUUUCAUCAUGUUAUUCCUCACCCUCACCCUUUCUCCUAUCAGAGAGUCUUCGGAAGGGAAACUAAUCUCCAACACCAAACUUAGCCGUCAACACAACAAACCGACAGCUAGGGUUUGAUGGCUGAUCGGAGUUUGACAGUUGUGAAGCCGGUAUGGAUGAAGCAAGCGGAGGAGGCGAAGCUGAAGACGGAGGCCGACAAAGCUGCGGCAGCCAAAGCCGCGUUUGAGGCCACAUUCAGGGAUUUGGAGAAGGCUCAUGAGAAGGGGGGGCCUGCUGUUCAAUCGGAUAGUGAUUCUGAUGAAUGGGAUGAGGAUUAUGCCAAGAAGAAGCCUAUUGGGCCGGUGGAUCCGGCGAAGUGUACUGCUGCGGGGACCGGGAUAGCCGGCGGGACGGCUUGUGCUCCGUCUUCGUUUUCGGUUGUGACUAAGGAUUCGGAUGAGAGGAAGGUUUCAAGUGGGGGUGCUUUGAUCAAGGUGAAAGUGACACCGGGAUUGGGGGUUGGUGGGUCGGAUCAAGAAGGGAUUGUCAAGGAUAUGGGUGAUGGAACGUAUACUGUUACGUAUGUGGUGCCAAAGAGAGGGAAUUAUAUGGUCAAUGUCGAAUGCAAUGGCAAGCCUAUCAUGGGUAGUCCAUUUCCUGUGUUUUUCAGUGCAGGUAAUAGUAAUGGAGGGCUGCUGGGUUUAGCUCCUGCAUCUUCAUUUCCAAAUCUGGUAAAUCAAACUAUGCCCAACAUGCCAAAUUACUCUGGGUCUGUUUCAGGGGCAUUCCCGGGACUAUUGGGAAUGAUUCCAGGGAUUAUUACCGGAGCUUCUGGCGGUGCUAUUUUACCAGGAAUUGGGGCCUCACUGGGGGAAGUUUGUCGUGAUUACCUAAAUGGGCGCUGUGCAAAAGUUGAUUGUAAGUUGAAUCACCCACCUCAUAAUUUGCUUAUGACUGCCUUAGCUGCAACAACUUCAAUGGGAACACUUAGCCAAGCUCCUAUGGCGCCUUCUGCUGCUGCGAUGGCCGCCGCUCAGGCAAUAGUUGCUGCCCAAGCCCUUCAAGCUCAUGCAGCUCAGGUGCAAGCUCAGUCAGCUAAAGAUUCCACUGGUUCACCUGAAAAAACUAAUAAAGAGGAUGCAUUGAAGAAAACCCUUCAAGUUAGCAAUCUAAGUCCCGUUCUCACUGUGGAACAGCUAAAACAACUCUUUGCUUUCUGUGGCACUGUUGUUGAUUGUACAAUCACUGAGUCAAAGCAUUUUGCAUAUAUAGAAUACUCGAAACCUAAAGAGGCAACUGCUGCUUUGGCAUUAAACAACAUUGAUGUUGGGGGGCGCCCUUUAAAUGUUGAAAUGGCAAAAUCACUUCCGCCGAAACCAUCUGUUGUGAAUUCUUCACAUGCUUCAUCCUCUCUUCCUUUAAUGAUGCAGCAAGCUGUUGCAAUGCAACAGCAGCAAUUCCAGCAAGCACUGCUUAUGCAACAAACUAUGACUGCACAGCAGGCUGCUAACCGAGCUGCAACCAUGAAAUCUGCCACAGACUUAGCAGCAGCACGAGCUGCAGAAAUAAGUAAGAAAUUGAAUCCUGAUGGACUUGUGAUUGAAGAAAAAGAGACAAAACAGAAAUCCAGAUCACCUUCUCCCCCUCGUGGAAGAUCUCAAUCAAAGUCGAGAUCUCCUAUCAAUUACAGGAGAAGGAGGAAGUCUCGUUCCUAUUCACCUGCUCCCCAUUUUAGGGAUCGGAGGUCCAGGUCACCAUUGAGGUUGCGCCAUCACUCGGGCUAUGAAAGGGGUCGGAGGUCCUUUAGAGACACCAGGGAACAUAGUGAUAGGUGGUAUAGAAGACGAGAUUCAGAUAGAUUUCUAGAUCAUCAUUCAUCUGCUUCAAGAAGACAUAGAAGUAGGAGUGCGAGCCCCUAUACACGGAAAUCAUCUGUUUCUCCGAAACGUCACAGGAAAAGUUCACCUCAUAGAGGAAGAAAACAGUCACGUGCUGAUUCUGGCUCUCCAAGUCAUCGCAGAGGAAGUAGGUCUUCUCCAAAGAUUGAUGAAAAAAAACUACGAAACAGAAGGGACUCGAGGUCUAGUUCUUCGGAUGAUAAGCCUAACUCCUUCAACAAAGAUGAAGAAAUCUUGCAGGAAAAGUCUAAACACAGAGAGAGAAAGCGGUCCAGGUCAGUAUCUGUGGAUGAGAAGCCUCAGAGAAGAAGCCGAUCAUCCCCAAGAAAAGUGGAUGAAAGCGGAUCCAGGCACAAGAAGCGGUCCAGGUCAAAAUCUGUGGAGGAUAAGCACAACUUCCCUGAGAAAUUGGAGGAAAACAGAAUCCGAAAGUCAAGGCAUAAUGACAAAAGGCACUCCAGAUCAAGAUCUACAGAAAGUAGGGAUCAAACUGAUGCUAGAGAGGAUGAAAGAAAAUAUGGAAAGUCAAAACAUCGUGAUAGUAAAAGGACCAGAUCCAAAUCUGUUGAAGGGAAGCAUCGUUCCAAAGAUAAAUCAGGUGAAGUAAAAGAUAAGAAAUCAAAGCAUCGUGAUAGAAGGCGUUCAAGGUCAGUAUCAUUAGAAGGUGAUCAUGACAUAGGAGGCACUUCAUCCCGUAAAAAUUUGGAUGAGAGCAAUUUUGAACGCAGACGAUUGAGGUCAGGCAGGCAUCAAUCCAGUGAUAAAUAUGGAAAUGGAGAUGUAAGAUCAGAACAUCAAGAGAAAAUCCUGUCUAAAUUGAAAUCAGAACAUCAUGAUGGGAGUGGGCCCUCUACAAGAAGUUCCAAGGAGUAUGAAUCAACUAGUAUAACAAAAUAUGACUCUGGAUCUGUAGAAGUUAAGCAUCAGUCAAGUGAUGGAGAAAAUGCUUCUAGUGUAGAGAAUUCAAAACAUCUUGAAGAUGCCAUACAGGAACCAAUUAUAAACAUGAAGGACUCAACAAACCUGAAUGAUAAUGGGAUGUUGAAUUCAGUGAAUGAGAACUACAAGUCAGAAAGGUCAACUGAAAAUGCAGGAGCUGAUGAAAAUCCAGGUUGGAAACGUGGGGAGGAAGUGGAAAAUGGGAAAUACUAAGAAAACUCUCCUUGGAGUGGGAAUCUAAAUGAUUUCAAAGUUUCUACCUGACAACCGACAAUCCUAACAAUUUAACCAUGAGUAUUCAUUUCUGUUUUUUUUUUUUAAUUUCAAAUCAGAAGUACUUUAGAGGAUAAUCGAACUUCGGUGCUUAUAAAUGCUGAUCAGAAAAUCUUGUCACCCAAGGCUGAUAGGAGUUCUUGUCAAUGAUCUUAUCACGAAAGCAUUGCGCAGGUCAUGGUUUUGUCUGCGUUUGAAGAUUCUUACACCGUCAAUGAUUGAGAUAAGAGCAUAUUCUAAUUAAGGACUAAGGAUUCUCAUUGAGGUUCCUGAACCAGUUCACUACAAGGAAUAGACUGUUUCCUCUUAGAAGCGUGAUUCUCGGAGGAUGUCUUUGACUGGGUUCUCGGAAUAUUCUCUGUUGGUUUAUGAACAUCUUCAAUUGUUUAUUUCUCUUUGCAGGUCGGGUUGGAAAAAGAUCAGAUGUAGAUUCCUACAGCUGUUGAUGUGGUUUAAGGUUUCAAGAAGUGUCCUGCUUUUGUCAUGAUCAACCAUGCAGCACUUGUAUCAUGCUGCUUUUACUGCUUGAUUGAUGUAUGUUGGAAUGUUAUUUUAAGUAUACUAUUCUUCUUAUUAAAGUCCCUCAGAUAUUGUCAUGGUGUGGAGGGAGAAACCCUUUUAGCCUGUGUCCUGAUGAUAUGCAUCUAAAACUUUUUUCUCUAAGGGUUAUUGACUUUGAAAUCUAUUGGAGCUUUGAGCUACAGUUUUCUUGGGUUGAUUUUCUCUUGUAUAAAUAAAGAAAUUGUCAUGGCUAGGUAAAGCUUCUAUAUAAGGUCAACUGAGAUCCUGGAUGUUGCUGCAAUGAGUUACGUCUUUGUUCCAUUUGAGCAAUUGGCUGACUUACAAUUUAUUCUUAAGUUAAUGCUGAAAUGCAAAUGAUUUCAACAGGUAAUUCUCUAUGAAACUAUUGAGUUGUUCCAUUAUUUGAGUAGGAUCUUCAGUUGUAUGUGUAGUUGUCUCUGUAUGAACUUGAAUCAUCUCAGCCUUGUCUGUGGUUAAUUUAGUUUUUACGUUUCCUUCUUAUUCACAUUGAUCAUAUUCCACUAAUUACAAUCAUAUGCAGAUUGACUGGUUUUCAGUGGUCAUCUCAAUGUUGUGUCAUGAGAUUUUUUGAUGAUUUGAUAUGAUGUCACGUAUAUUGUGGUUUUGAAAAUGAGGUUGUUUCUAAUUGGUGCUGGAAAACUUUUUGGUUUGUCCUUCCUUUUGAGGAAAUAUGGGAUUAUUUUUCUUGUGAUUGUGAAUUACACCUGAAAGUUUCCCUCCAUCUUUUUUUGGUUCUUUUUUCACUUCUGUUUCUGCUCUGCUUCUUCCCCCUCUCUCUCUUUUCUGGUUAGGUUAAGCAUUGGGUAUGAUGAUCUCAUGAGCAGCUGCAAAAUCUCUUCACCAGAUGAUUGUGUGAAGCUUGUUCUUAGAAGUUGUUUGUGUAUUAGUUUUCUUAUUUUUUAGGGUUAAAUUUUCUAAUGCUGUCUCUGCAUCACCUGGUCUAGUCACUGUUAGUUGCCUGUCAAUUUUAUGCCAAGUUGGCCACUUAGGGUAGAGGGCAUUAUGCUUUACCAUAGGUGUUUGUUCUUAGUGCUGCUUAGUAUAAUGAAAGAAAAGUAAAUUAUAUUUAUGAGGUGUGGGCUCAAAAUUGGGCACUACUUUUAGUCUA